rnacentral:rRNA from 1 species
GGUCUCUAUCCGCCGUGGGCGUAGGGAGUUUGAUGGGAGCCGUCCCUAGUACGAGAGGACCGGGAUGGACGGACCUCCGGUGUAGCGGUUGUCGUGCCAACGGCAGCGCCGCGUAGCCGACGUCCGGCAGGGAUAAGCGCUGAAAGCAUCUAAGUGCGAAGCUCGCCCAAAGACGAGACUCCCCACCGGGUUAACCGGGUAAGGCCCCUGGUAGACUACCAGGUUGAUAGGACGCAGGUGGAAGCGGGGUAACCCGUGGAGCUAAGCGUUACUAAUGGCCGAGGGCUCGCGCCU